rnacentral:rRNA from 1 species
AAGGAAUAUUGGUCAAUGGACGCAAGUCUGAACCAGCCAUGCCGCGUGAAGGAUGAAGGUCCUCUGGAUUGUAAACUUCUUUUAUCUGGGACGAAAACGGGAUUUUUAUCUCAAUUGACGGUACCAGAGGAAUAAGCACCGGCUAACUCCGUGCCAGCAGCCGCGGUAAUACGGAGGGUGCGAGCGUUAUCCGGAUUUACUGGGUUUAAAGGGUGCGUAGGUGGGCUUAUAAGUCAGUGGUGAAAUCUCCGAGCUUAACCUGGAAACUGCCGUUGAUACUAUAGGUCUUGAAUUAUCUGGAGGUAAGCGGAAUAUGUCAUGUAGCGGUGAAAUGCUUAGAUAUGACAUAGAACACCAAUUGCGAAGGCAGCUUACUACAUAUAAAUUGACGCUGAGGCACGAAAGCGUGGGGAUCAAACA